AGAAAUGUGAUAAUUGUAAGAACAAUGUUGUAAUAAGUAUGUUAAGAACUAGAUUGUAUAAUUGGAAGUUGAGGAUCAAUGUAAAAGAAUGUAAUGUGGAAUGUAAAAUGUAAUAUCUGAGGUGAAUGCUUGUAAUAGCAAGUAGAUUUAUGUUUUUGAUACUUCCUUAUGCAAUCUUUGGUUGAAAUGUGUUCCUGGUUGGAACUUCAUACAUUGUAUUGAUUGCGACGCCUUGAAC
rnacentral:lncRNA from 1 species